GCAGUUACAACAGGGAUAUCUGUGCCCUUCAACAACUUGGCUAUUAUAUACAAGCAACAGGGAACUUAUGCAGAAGCGAUAGCCUGUUACAAUGAAGUUCUUCGCAGACUGUUGCUGAUGGUCUUGUCAAUAGAGGGAACACAUUUAAGGAGAUUGGUAGAGUUACUGAAGCAAUUUAGGAUUAUAUACGUGCUGUGAAUAUCAGACCAACUAUGCCUGAAGCCCAUGCAAAUUUGGCUUCAGCUUACAAAGAUAGUUUACAAAUCUCAAGUACUCCAGAGUUGAAAUUGAUGAAGUGCGGUUCGAGUGGGC